rnacentral:lncRNA from 10 species
AGAGCUGGUUGCUGGUAGUUCUUUAAAUUUUGGAGUAAAAUGGCAGAUAGGGCUUGGAUCUGGAAUAAGUAAAUCCCUGCUUUGGUGUGAGUCUUCUUGGCUUUGACCUCAUUUAUGUGCUACAAUUUUUUCACUGGCUUCUGGAAUUCUCAGAAAGUCCCCCUGGGAUUACAAGAGUGUUGAAGCAACGUUGUGACACAUCGGAACACCUUGAAAUACAUGGACACUUUCAAAUCAUUAAAGACUCUCAAGAUAACUCAUGUAGGGGCACUCAAGAUGGCUGAAUAGGAACAGCUCCAGCCUCCAGCUCCCAACAUGAGCAACACAGAAGAGGGGAGAUUUCUGCGUU